CUCUAUAUAUAGCAAAUCAGCUUUUUUGAGAAAUCAUUAUUCAUUCUUUCUUUGAAAACAAUAAUCCACCUUUGUCCUUCUUUUUCUUUUUAGUCUCUGUUUCUUCUUGAUCAAGCUCUGUCACCGAUCUCGAGAACGUCAUAGCUCGAUGACCAUCCGCACCAAACUGUAACUCAUGGUUGAACACACGAUCAAAGAUCUGCCCACACCGUUCUUAUUCUCCGUUUCUUUGUUUUUUGCGUUUCACGAUCUCCGGCAAAUCAUGGAGGAUCUCACCGAGAGUCGGAGGUGGUGACGCAAACCAUGGAUGCAUCAUAUGCGCCGUUGUCACGAGAGCCAGGUUCCUAUCUUAAUUAAUCAAGAUUCGCCGAGACUGUUUUGGUUUCUGUGGAAUGAUAGAGAGAACACAUCAUGUUAUUGCUUGUUUAAAGGCCAGCAACGGAAAAACCAGUUCAAGCUUUUCAUAGAGGUAAAACACGGCAGAGAUUAAAAAACGAACGACAUGCAAAAAUAUACUUCUCCGAAUAGUACGGGCUAAACUAUUGGGCCUUAUCAAUCCUACAGAUCUCCUUCUAACUGGGCUUUGAGAGUUUAUAUAUAGUGUACAGGUUCGUAAUAAACUUUUUAUUAGUGUUUAAAAAAUAAUUAAUUAGGGAAGGAUCGUAUUUGGUCAGUGGAAGAUACGCAGCACAUAUUCCAACUAAUCAUCGACAGCUCAUUGCUUCCAUUUGUCAGCUUAUCCGAAGCCGACCAUUUUAAAGACUUUAGUUUUAAAUUACUUAUCUUAUCGGUCGAAUUAAGUUCAAACUAAUUCUAUAUUAAUUACUGUAUUAUUUACUCGUUGAAACUACUACUACAGUAGUACUACAAAAAUAAAAGAUUUUAUUAUUA